UGCUAGCAGCGAUUUGGCAACCUUGAACACCACUUCAGAGUUGCCAAAACUCAAUGUAGUGUUUGUGGGGGUGAUAUGUGCUUUCUGGUUGGCGUGAUACAGUUGAUACAUUCCUGAGUUUCCUUCAUUCAGAGAAGCUGAGUCUUUUUUUUUUCUUGCUGGCCUGGCUAUCAGUAUGAAUGUGACUUGGUUUAAAGCGCUAACCUUUGAGGAUUUGGUGAUAUUCUGAUCGUAUGUCUUUGCCAAUUUUAUUAAUCAUGUUUUGAACACUGUUUAUGUUUUUGGGGUGCCUGAAGUUGAAGGGUAUGACUGUAAGUAACAUCUGUUAGUCAUCAUUGCGUAAUAUUUCACUUGGGGCUGCCAAAAUAUGGUCUUGGUAACUGGUAUAGUCCAAAAUACACAUUAUUGUUACAUAACAUGUUUACAGAACUCCCGUGCAGAUUUAAUUAUAUUAUUCCUUUAAAAAAUGCAGUGUUGUAUCCCAGAAUACUUGUUUAUUAUUCUUAGUGCCAUUGAAAAGAACAGUGUGAUUUGUUAAUAGUAACAAAACAACAAUUCACAAUAGCUCUUUACACCAAUAUCUGGGCCCUUAAAGACAGGAAGUGUGAAUGUACAAUGCUUUAAUAAUGUCAGUGCCAGACUAAGGUGCUUUGUCACGAUUUUAGUACAGUAUGCCCUGAAAUGCCAAAAGGGCAUCUUGAUUAAUACAAAAUGUCAAGGUUACUGACAUGCUUAUAAAACAAUUUAAAAUAUUCUGAAAAUAAAUAAUAGAUCUAAGAAAGGAAA